rnacentral:rRNA from 1 species
CAUCACAUCCUGGGGCUGGAGCAGGUCCCAAGGGUUCGGCUGUUCGCCGAUUAAAGUGGUACGUGAGCUGGGUUUAGAACGUCGUGAGACAGUUCGGUCCCUAUCUGCCGUGGGUGUAGGAGAAUUGAGAGGCGCUGCCCCUAGUACGAGAGGACCGGGGUGGACGCACCUCUGGUGUACCGGUUGUCGCGCCAGCGGCACCGCCGGGUAGCUAAGUGCGGACGGGAUAACCGCUGAAGGCAUCUAAGCGGGAAGCCCCCCUCGAAACGAGUUCUCCCAGAGAGCCGUGGAAGACCACCACGUUGAUAGGCCGGGUGUGGAAGUGCGGCAACGCAUGAAGCUAACCGGUACUAAUCGCUCGAUCGGCUUGAACGC